rnacentral:lncRNA from 1 species
UCUUGAAACAUACCCCGCUACCUAUGACUCAAAUGGAUCCUGUAAUCUUUAGUUUUCUGGGAUAACUCUGGUCGCUAACUAUGACUCAAACGCAUUUUUGUUUUAAUUGUUCACAAAACAGAACCAAAUGAAAAAAAGGAGAUCAAUGAAUUUCUUAAGCUUUCCCUUUUUGUCUCUGUCUGUAUUUGUGUGUGUGUGUUUUCUUGUGGCGAGGCAUCAAUGUCUAACAAGUAU